GCAGCCACAGCGAGCGCAGACAUCCCAGAGGACGUGGUUGACAGCGACAUGGGCGAUCUGCUCACGUGGAUCAGUGACAUGACCUCCAAUACAGACAUCCCGGUCGACAGCGUGGAGAUCGAUGAUAUUCUGUCGUGGAUCAGCAACGAAGGGACACCCAGCUCAGGCAUUCCAGAUGACAGCAUGGAACUCGACGGUUUGCUCAGCUGGAUCGUUGGUGAGUUCAGGGGCCGCAGCGGUGGCGGAUGGAUGUCCGCGCCGAGUGGCUGUGGGAAGGCUGCCGUCCUGGUUUUGGGGGAUGUUCUUUGUUUUGCAGAAGCGUCGAGUCCUCGGGAGGUCCCCCAGCAGGCGUUCCCAGCCGUCCCCAGCAGGCUCAGCACCUCUCCUUUCAUCAGAGCCCUCCGUGACCGUCCCAGCGGCAGCAGGGAGCUCAGCGGAGAGGCGCAGGCUGACGCCGGGCCCCUCAGCGAG
ensembl:lncRNA